AAUAAGUGCAGUUAUGCACUGUUCACGUUCAACGUUUGACCGUUCGUCUUAUUUGAAAAUUUUUUAUGAUUAGUAUUUUUAUUGCUAUUAGAUGAUAAAACGUGAAUAGUAUUUUACGUGUGGCUAAAUAUUUUCAAUUUUUUCACAAAUUUUUCAAAUAAGACGGACGGUCAAACGUUGGGCACAAAUAUCCACGGCUGCACUUAUU
rfam:Oryza glumipatula chromosome 6, whole genome shotgun sequence.